rnacentral:tRNA from 1 species
GGCUGGAUAGCUCAGACGGAAGAGCGCCGAUCUCAUAAGUCGGCCGCCGGCGGUUCGAUUCCGCCUCCAGCCA